rnacentral:tRNA from 17 species
GCCUCAGUAGCUCAGGGGAUAGAGCAGCGGCCUUCUAAUCCGCCGGUCGGGGGUUCGAUUCCCUCCUGGGGCACCA